UCCCUGGUGGUCCAGUGGUUAGGACUCUGCACUUCUAUUGCAAGGGGCACAGGUUCCAUCCCUGAUCGGGGAA
rnacentral:tRNA from 1 species